CUAAUACUUACAUAAAUUCAGGACUGGCACCAAAGCACCGGGCUGGUAACAAAGCAUAAUAAAGAAAUAGAAUUCAUGUCCUUUGCAGGGACAUGGCUGAAGCUGGAAACCAUCAUUCUCAGCAAAGUAACACAAGAACAGAAGACCAAACACUGCAUGUUCUCACUCAGAAGUGGGAGUUGAACAAUGAGAACACCUGGACACAGGGAGGGGAACAUCACACUCUGGGGCCUGUUGGUGGGUGGAGGGCUAGGGGAGGGAUAGCAUUAGGAGAAAUACCUAAUGUAGAUGACAGGUUGAUGGGUGCAGCAAACCACCAUGGCCUGUGUAUACCCAUGUAACGAGCCUUUACGUUCUGCACAUGUAUCCCACAACUUAAAGUUUAAUAAUAAAAAAAGAAAUAGAAUCAGCAUGAAAUACACUAAGGGUCAUCCUAUAUGUGAGCUGGCAGAAAUUGGCAGCAGUUCAUCAAACUAAGGCUCAAGUACAUAAUAUAAUAAAAAUUGCCAAAUCCAGAUUAUGGAAAAUUUUAUAAAGUGGUUUGUGAAUAGAAUACAAUAAAAUAAUAGAAUAGGAUAGAACAUAAUAGAAUAGAAUAGAAUAGAAUAGAAUAGAAUAGAAUAGAAUAGAAUAGAAUAGAAUAGAAAACAGAAUAGGAAAUUCUAAAACUCUAAAAGCUCUUUGGAAGUCCUUUAGAUGCCUAGAUAGUUCCAAAAUAGCUUGUUGUAUGACAGUAGGAAAAUGCUCUAAAUGUUUUCACCAUCAUCAUCUUAAACUUACCAAACAGAUCCAGGACUUUUGUUGAAUGCUGUGGCUAAAAAUGGCUUUAUUUAUUUUGUGUUAACUUAAUUAUUAGAAGACUAAAACGACAUCUUCAUCUGCUCAAGAAUGUUCUGUUAUAUGUCAUACAAGAAAAGCAAAAUUUCUAGAGUAAUUUGGGAAUUAUUAAAAUUUAAAUGUCUCAUUCUUAAUAAUUAGAGGCUUAUCUUUACAAUCAAACAAUUCGUACACUGUGCAAUUGACUCAGAUAAAGGUUUUACCUUUCUAGUUUGACAUUUACUCAUUCAUUUGUAUGAUUGAAACCCCACUUCUUUUAUGCCACAAAAGAUACAAUGCCACUGAUACAUACACAUAAAUUUACUAAGCAUAGUCAUACUGUUUCUUCUUCUCAUUUACCUUUCUGGAUUCCAUUUCAACAUUAGCAUUUGCGUAGUUUUAAGUACUUAUAUAAAUAUUCAUGAAACGAAUAUUCUCCCUAACUAUUGUGUAUCAUUUGCACUGUUGCCACAAACAUAUUUUUAAACUGGCUAUAAUCUGUAAAAGACAAUAUUCUUCAUAGUUAUUAUUUAAUAUUAACAAAUUUAUUAAUUUGAUUGACAUUAUAAAAAUAAUUAGCAAAUUUUCUCUUUUCAUUUGCAAAAGCAGUGAGUACUCUUUUACUUAUGAGUAACAGAGGUCCUGAGAAACAUAACAAUUUGCCAAAUGUCUGGGACAGAAGUAGCAGAUGCACAAAUGCUUAGAUUUUUUAAAUUAUUGUUUUAAUUCUAUCAAUUUCAUAUUAGGCUACAGAAGAAUAAUUACUAGAAGUAUGUAAUGGAAAAUGGAAAAAGAUACAAUUCAAGCAAGUAGUUCACACAAAACUUUUUCUCCAUUAAUAUUGAUAAAUUAACAAGCACAAUAAUCACAUGGUCUUUGGAUCAUGUUUUGUUUUACAAUUUCUUUCUGAACUACUGCACAGCCCUUAAAGAUGCUGAUCCCAUCUGUGACAGUUAAGUAGAAUAUUUUUUCAUUACGUAUGUCUAACUAGGAUAAUUUAAAAAAAUGGAAAAAUGCUCCCUGAAUUUUCUUUUAGAUUAGGAAAAUGAACUACAUCAUUUGCAGAAAACUAUUGUCAUAAGAAAUAUGAUUUAAAAGAUUUUCAAAAAUUUAUUAUACAAAAUCUGGAGAUACGUUGGCGACUUUCUAUUAGCUUAAAGUUUAUUCUAAAAAGGCUUUAAAAUAUGUGCAAUGAAAACUCAUCUAUGAAAAACAUCUUACAUUUUAAAUAGGCCCUUUAGAUAUCUACAUAUUGAGUAAUCAUAUUAUUCCAACCACCAUGUCUGUGUCUAUUAGCACAAUAAAUUUGAUUAACAGGAUAUUUAGAUGAGAAAAACUUUUACACUGUGCAUAAGUAAUAAUGGGUUUAAAAAUUUGUGUUUAAAUCUGGAAGAUAAAAUGAAUGUUUCUCUUUAGAUUUGAUUUAAGUGAGCUGAUAAACUGCCUUUUAAAAAUUAGAAAUUUAGUCUCUUCAGAACGAAAAUGGAAUACUUUACAAUUUAAAUGUAUUUUAAAAUAUUUCACAUGAAAUAGUCUAGGACAAUUUCAGGAUUUAGAAUAUUAUAAACCAUGAAAUAUGUGAUACAAAACAAAACAUCACAGACUUCAGAAAAUAGAAGUGCUAGUUCUAAACAUUAGAGUAUUCCCCAGCCAAUGUCUGCAUGUUAUUCUGAAGAAGAUAAAUCAAUAUAUUAUGUAAUACAAUUAGUAUAGAGAUAAAAGGCAUAGAUCAAAAUGAUGAGAUUUUUAUGAGAUAGUGCUUAUUGUUUGCCAGCAAUGCAUGAUACAGUCAAGCCAAGGACAGCAUCCAGUUUCUAGGCUGUAAAAGAUUAUUCAUUCAGAAAACAAAGGAAUAUUUAUGUUAUCAACAUGCUAGCCAUAAGGAAUGCAACAUGUCUCAUUAGUAAAUGCAAAAUGAAUUUAAUUGCUAUUCCACCUCAAAUAUCCAUUUUAGUAUGGAAGUUCUAGGGGAAACAGAUGAUUACAGGUGUCUAUAAUUGCAAACUCUAGUAGAAAGACAUAUUUGUCAGAAAAAUAUUCAUGUUAUAGUCAACUGAAUAAUUAUUUAUACUAUUUAUGAAAUGAAUUACAAUAAGACCUGGGACAUUUAAAUGUAAUCUAAAUCACUAUCCCUGAAAUGCACUUGUAUAUAACACAAAAAUAAAAAUGGUCAAUAUAAAUAAAGGAGUACAGGUAAAAUUGACUAAUUAUCAGAAUAAAUAGGACACAUGUUAUAUAUAAUAGGUGCUCAAGGAGGGAGAAAUUAGCAUGAGCUAGAGCACUAUUUACCAAUGUGUCAUUCUUCAUGGACAGUCUUCACAGAUUUAGUAAUAAGCACAUAUCACCUGUUCUCUUAUUGACUUUGAAUCUACACACAAUAAAUAUUUAAUUGAUUCAAAUUUAUUUUUCAUGCAUUUAAAAAAACAGAUUAAUGUGGCUUAUUUUGGGGGAAAAUUUUGCCCAAACAUUUUGAGGCAUUAUUAGUGUUAAAAGUAGAAUUCUCCAUAGACUGACUUCUUUUCACACAAAAACACUCACACUCACACACAUUUUGGGAUGGAAGCAAAUAAUUGGCAGGAAACUAUAAACAUCACUGCAGUCAAUGAGAAGUAGCAUUACCUCAAUUGCAAAUAUUGACAAUAUCCUGACUAACAGGACACUCAGCCCUGUGUGAUUCGCAGAGGAAACAAAGAUGCAAACGCCGAUAAUGAGCUGAUACUCCUAAGAGGAACUGAAGUGAUCUGAGAUUAUUGGUGCAAUUGUUACUAGCAAAAGCCAAAGUACAUCUGUUUUGGAGGAAAACUUUUCCAACUUGGUCCACAGGCUAUCCACAGAUUGUGAUAAAGCAAUAAGUUGAAAAUCAUAAAGUCAAUAAACAUAAGAUUUAUGCUGGUAAUAAUUAUGCCUAGAAAUAAUUGAUUUAUUAUUUAUGCCAGUCAGCCAAAACAACCAACAGUCCUAGCUCCUCACUAUAAACUGCAUAUUUUGGAAUUAUCAGAUACAGGUUUUAUAACAAAUGCAUAAAAUGUUUAAGUAUAUAAAAUACACAGUUGCUAAGUGAUAAUGAGGUAUUACUAGGAAUUAAGUGUUAUAUAAGCAGUCUUGAAGAGGAAAGUAAUGAACUGGAAGAAACAACUAAAGAACACCAUAUGAAAUAAAUGAAUUGGAAAAUAUUUAAAAGAACAUUAAAAAGAAUACCUUGACUAUAAGUCCUCAAGAGAGAAUGAAGGAGAGGCAAUGUUUAAGAAAUAAUAGUUUUUUAAGAACUUGUUUAAUAUGUGAAUCUGCAGAUCAAGUAUGCACACUCUAUCCAAAAAUAAUGAAAAUAAUAUAUAGCCACUUAUAAAUAAUGUGGAACACCAAAGACAAAGCAACUAUUUUAAAAUAACCAGAGAGAAAGAAGAAGUUAUGUACAGCAAAACAACAAUUAGAAUGAUAGUGGACUUUUUGAAAGCAACAACGGAGUCAGAAGACAAAAACAUUGGUCUCUGACUGUAAAAAAUAUCAACAGAUAAUGAAACCUAAAGAAUUUACCCCAGCAAUUGGUUUCAGACACAAGAAAUCAUGGUGGCCGGGUACAGUGGCUUACGCCUGUAAUCUCAGCGCUUUGGGAGGCCGAGGUGGCUGGCUCACUUGAGGUCAGGAAUUUGAGACUUAACUUACGUGGCCAACACAGUGAAACCGCAUUUCUACUAAAAAUACAAAAAUUAGCCUCGCAUGGUGAUGCAUGCCUGUACUCACAGCUACUCAGGAGCCUGAUGCAGGAGAAUUAAUUGAACUCGGGAGGUGGUGAUUGCAGUGAGCCAAGAUCAUGCCACUGCGCUCCAUUCUGGGCAACAGCAGGAUAAUCUGUCUCAAAAAAAAAAGAAAAAAAAAGAACUGAUAUAAUAAAAUAGUAAAAGCAUAUGCAAAUCAUAAAAUAUGUGUUCUUAUAAAUGUGUUUUGAGGAAUAUAAGUAUAUCUUUCUGUGAAAUAUGAGUACAACUGCUGGGUCAUAGGAUAUGAUUACAUUCAACUCUAGUAAAUAGUAUAGUGCUAAGCAAAUUUCCAAAGCAGUUGUAUCAGUAUAUACUCUUUGUAGUAGUACAUACUACUGUCUCUCUUCUAUUUAUUUAUUCAUUCAUUCAUUAUUCAUGCUGGUGAAUAUGUAAUGAUAUAACGUUAGUUUUAAUUUGCAUUUUCCUGAAAACAGAUAAAGUUGAUUGUUACUGUUUUAAUUUUUAUUUUCUUCCAGAUUACUAAAGUCAACACUACCCAAAUGUCCAUCAAAAAUAAAGUGGAUAAAUUCAUUGUGGUGUAUUCAUACACUGAAAUACCAUUCAUCAGUAACAUGAAUCAAUAAGUACAUACAAUUACGUGUAUGAAUUUUGCAAACAUAACCUUGAAGGAAAGAUGUCAGAAACAAAGUAUGCACUGUUUGAAUUUGUUUAUGUAAUGUUGAAACAAAGGCAAAAAUAAUCUAUAAUGUUAAAAACCAGAGUAUUGGCUAUCCUUGGGGAGGCAGUAGGAGGCAGGGAAUGGUGAUGAAGACACAGGUAAUAUUUCUAUAUCUUGAUAAUUGUGACAAAAGUGUGUUUACUUUUUGAAAAGCCAUCCAACUUCAAUAGCAAAACACCAAAAAAAAAAAAAGACAGAUGUUACCAAAUUUGCUUAUAAGAAAUUUAGUUAUUUGUUUUUCAUAAAAUAUAAAUAGAAAAUACAAAAUAAAUUAAAAUCAAAGUCUGGGAUAUGGAAUAUAUAAUAAAUAUUACCCAAAAGAAAUCUGUAUAUUCAAAUAAAAUAAACUUUAAAAUAUAAAACAUUAGUAGGGAUAGAAGUAGUAAAUAACAAUAAAAUAAAGUAAAAUUUGAGAAAAUUAGAAGAAAACAUUGACAAGGCUUUAUUAUGUGAGAAAUGUGAACAAAAUCUUUUUAAAUUAUUGAAAAUUAAAUCAUAGAAGAAAUAUGCAGUAAAUUUAAAGAAUUAAUUUACCUCAUCUAAUAGGUUUAUAUAGAACUCUGACCCCAACAGUUAGAACAUAUCUAUCCUUUCAUUAAUUAUUUGUAUAAAUUCAUAAACUCAAUAAAACAAAUUUCUAAUAAUACCAUUUAGAACAGGUUCUGUGAACACAGUACAUUGAAGCAAGAAGUGAAUAAGAAAAAGAAGAAAAUAACACCAUAAAACUUCAGACACAACAAAAAAUCUCCAUAGUAAAAAAAAUACAUCUUAAUACAAUUAAUAAAACAUUUAGAAAUAUCAAAUUACAAUACAAAUUAUGUGAUUUGUAGGAAGUGGUAGUUAGAGGGAAAUAUCUAUUUCUAAAUGCAUAUAUUAAUAAGAAUAAAGGCUAAAAAUUAAUGAUUUAACUUUACAACCUCAGAAUUUAACUGAAAAACAAGCAAACAAACUAAAAAGAAAUAAGAAAAUAGAAAACAAAGAUGAAAUCAAGGGAAUUUACAAAGCUAAGUUUGUUCACUUAAAAUUUUCAUAAAUAAAAUAUAAAACAGUGACAUUAUUAAAAGCAAAGGGGAAUUUCCCUUUCUUUCCCUCCUCUUCUGCCUUUCUUAAACAAUUCAAUCCAGUAGCCAUCAUGUGAGGCUGAGCAAAGUAGUUGUCUGUGCCAAGGGAGAAAAGAAAGCUAUUGUGACCCAAGGAAAGGUGUUGGAGUCCAAGGAGGGUGAGAAAGGCAUGCCUGAAGAACAAGGGAUGGUAGCAUGGCUAGCAUGUUAGAGUCCCUGCAUGGUUAAGAGAGCUUCUACAUGGUGACAUGGCCCAGCUACACGAUGAAAAGUGUCCCUGCUUUAUGGCAGCCUGAAGGAGGUAGUGGUGAGGGAUCUGAGCUCAGACUAAGUGAGGAGAGAGUCUGCAUGUGUACACACAUGCACACAUACGCACACACAUUUCAUAACUUUUAUUCCACUGAGUGAACCUAGAAGCAGCCAAAACUCAAUUGCAAUGAAUAUGUCCAGUGUCAGAUCUCAGUUUCUAAAUACCAAGGUCUACAAACAGGAACCAGAUAUACUUGAAGAAAUUAUAGAUUCCAGAACCAGAACAAUAAGAGCAGCAAAAGACCACACUGGUUUAUCUUAUACCAAAAAGUAAGAAAGUGUUCAAAAUGUAAUAGGAACAUGUUGUAGAGUGCAAAAUUCAGGUUGACAGGCCCCUACUGGCCAAAAUCUAGAACAUUUGACCACCAUAAUAAAUUAUUAUAGUGUGGUGGGUUGAAUAGCAUCCCCCUUCCAAACUGUAUGCCCUCCUGGAACCUCAGAAUGUAAACUUACUUGGAAAUAGGGUCUUUGCUGACAUAGCUAGUUAGGUUGAGUUGAGGUCAACAAGAUUAAGGUGCGCCUUAAAUUCGAUUAGUGGAGUUCUUAUAAGGAGAGAAGUUAACACAAACAGAUAAACACAAUGAAGAAAAGCAUAUGAUGAUGAAACUUGAGAUUGGAAUAGUGUAGUUACAAGCCAAGGAAGACCAAGGGUUGUUAAGAGCAACCAGAAGGAAGGAAUAACUGAGAAGGUGGCCCACAAACAUUAAAAAAUGCUCAACAUCACUAAUCAUCAGAGAUGCAAAUCAAAACCACAUUUUGAUACCAUCUCAUACUAGUCACAGUGGCUACUGUUAAAAAGUCAAAAAAAUAACAGAUGCUGGCAAGGCUGCAGAGAAAAAGGAAUGCUUAUAUACUGUUGGUGGGAUGUAAAUUAGUAUAACCUUUAUGGAAAACAGAAUGGAGAUUUCUCAAAGAACUAAAAAUAGAACUACCAUUUGACCCAGGAAUCUUAUUGCUGUGUAUAUACCCAAAAGAAAAUAAAUCCUUCUAUCAAAAAGACAUAUGCAGUCAUAUGUUCAUUGUUGUGCUAAUCACAAGAGUAAAGACAUGGAAUCAACCCAGGUCCCCAUCAAUGGUGGACUGAAUAAAGAAAAUGUGGUUCAUGUACACCAUGGAAUACUCCACAGCUAUAAGGAAGAAUAAAAUCAUCUACUUGGCAGCAACAUGGAUGCAACUGGAGGCCAUCACCCUAAGUGAAUGCAGAAACAGAAAACCAAAUACUACAUGUUUUCACUUGUAAGUGGGAGCUAAACCUUGGGUACACAUGGACAUAAGACAGGAUAAAGAAACACUGGAGACUCAAAUAGGAGGGAAGAAGGGAGGGUGGCAAGGUAUGAAAAACUUUCUGAAGGUACUCUGUUCACUAUUUGGGUGACAGGAUCAACAAAAGCCCAAACCUCAGCAUAAUGUAAUAUUCCCUUGUAACAAACCUGCACAAAUACCCCGGAAGCUAAAAUAAAAACUGAAUUUUUUUUUAAAAAAAGCAAGAAAGAUUUUCCUUUACCUUUAGAAUAAUCAUGGCUCUUCUUCCAGCUUGAUUUUGGACUUCUAAAUUCCAAAAUUAUGAGAAAAUAAAUUUCUCUUGUUUGAAACCACCUAGUUUUAAGUACUUUGUUCAGCAGCCCUCAGAAAUUAAUACAGAUACGAACAGAUGAUAAUCUACUGAACGAAAUGCAAAAUCAUGACUUCAUGAUGAUAUGAGCAAAUAAACAUAUACACUGAAAUUUGAAAGGGAAUGGAAUAUUUACAGAGUCUCAAAUUACAACCUCUCACACACAUUUAAAUUAUUUAUUUAUUAAUUGCAGAGGGGAAAAUGUAAUAUUACAAAAGGAAACCUGGCAGACAUUAUUUUAAAUUUUUAAAUUUAACAAUAGUAAUCAGAUAAAUCAAGAUCACAUACCAUCAGAUAGAUUGCUAUGAGAAUAAAAUAGCGCUUCUGUGUUGUUUCUGCUAAAGAUGAAUAACCUGAAUCUAUUCACAAAGAAAUAAGACAAAGUCCAAACUAAAGAACAUUCUAUAAAAUAAGUGCCCUGUAACAUUUAAGCGUCAAUGUCACGGAUAUUAAGAACCUGCUAAAAAAACUAUCUCUGAUUCAAAGAAACUAAAGUGACAUUUUAACAAAGUGUAACAUUAUUAUGAACUAAUAUUUGAGCUAUAAAGGAUAAUAUAAGGACAAUGAGUAAAAGCUGAAGGGAGUAAGAGGAUUAGAUAUUAGUAAUAUAUCAGUGUUAAUUUUUAAAGUUUGAUGGUUGUACAGUGACUAUGUGAGAGAUCAUCAUUGUAGAAAAUACAUACUAAACUAUUCAGGAAUGACAAAGCAUUAUGUUAGGAAAUUACUCUCAAAAUGUUCAGGAAAAAAUAUUUAUUGUUUGUAUUGCACUCGAAGCUUUUCUAAGUUUGAGGUUUCAAAAUUUUUUUUAAAAUAAAAAAGCCACAUUUAUUCAUCAUUUAUACACCCUAGACAUCUAUUUAUUGAAUAAUUAUAAUAUUCCAGGUGCUGUUCUGGACAAUUGAGGUACAACAUUAGACAAAGUACGCAAAAAUCCCUCUGCUCAUGGAUACGUUAAUUUUCCGAUUCAUAGAUAUGAAUAUUGCAAUUGCUUCACUAAUUUUUCUGUAUGUGGCAAGCUAGUGAAUGAUUUUCAGCUCUCAGAAUAGUCAUUUGUAACUAAUCAUUUAUUUACUUAUAAUAAGAAAUAAAACUAUGACUAAGUAAUACAUUGCAAUAUUUAAUUAUAACAGGAAAUAAAAUUAAUGAAUAAAUAACAUAUUAUUAUAGAUAUAUUAACAGGAACUAUAGCCAUAGUGAUAGAGCUCUUGAUGGGUGUGUGUGUGUGUGUGAUUCGUUACUACAUAAUAAGAGAAUGGAUUAACAUAUUUUCAAUAAUAUAACUAACUGAAUUAUCUUUUUAACCAAAUUUUCUUAUUUCAAGCAUAUAUGUCAAAGACUGAUAUAUUAGUGUAUAUAGAUAUGUAUUUUGUCAGAUAAGGUAUUUUAUUGGAUCAUCAAAAUAAAUAAAAUUUUAUAUAUUCAUGAAGAGUAAGACUUCAGAUAAUCAUAGUUUGUUACAAGUAUCUGAAUGGAGAAAGAACCAGCUAGUGCUUCAAUAACUCACUGUUAUUAAUCCCUAUGAAUUCAUGACAAAAUAAUAUAAGGCCAAUAUGUUUGCAUUAUUAAAUAAUAAAUGUAUGCAUUACUAUGCAUGAAUGCUUUAUAAAUUUUCAUUAUUAUCUAUUUUUUGGAUUGCUACUUAAUAAAAUAUAUGCCCUCUCUGCUUUCACUGCUUUUAAUGUGGGGUAACUUAUUGCUCCUGCUUUGUGGAUAGCAUUCAUAGGAUGAUAAAGGCACUGAUAAUUAUAAGAAAUACUAUGAAACUAUAAUUUAUCUAGAAGAUAAUUAACUGUUUAUUUAUAUAAAAUAUAAACUUGAUUAUUUACCUCAUAGCCAACUAAAAAAUAAGUUGAUCUACAAUGAAGUUAUGGAGGAAAGAGAACAGUAUCUUAAAAUAAAAUGUAAAUCUUGUUAAUGAAGCUUUGCCUUAACUAUCCUCAUAGAACUUACAGCUAUUUAAAAAAUAGAAGCAACUUGUGUCUAUUUAUAUAGCUAGAUAAAAAAUUGCUUUUGCACCAACUUUAUUGAGGGCUGAGAAAUACAACUGCUCAUAUUUGACCCUGAAGUAGCUUUACUUUUCCUGAACAAACACCUCUGAGCUAUAUUUCUUGAGGAAGCAUGUAUCUUCCUCCCUGCAAGUUCAUAUAAUUGAGGUGAGUAUCAUCAUCCUUGCAAAGGUCUGUGAAAACUGAACUCUGUAGUCCAGGAAUGACUGAGGAAACACCGUGAUUGACACCUGCUCUCUAAUCUCAAUGGAACUGAUGAGCUUCCAGGGUGUCAUAAGCUAAGUGACAGUACUUAAUUACCAGAAAUAUGGUUUACACAAUUACUGUAAUGGACUACAGGGAUGAAGUGUCAACCUGACGGUUUUGACUUCAGAGGUAUGGUAGCUAAUUGAUGGCCAUGUUUCUAGAAAAUACUUGAGAAGCUUUCAAAUGUAUUAGGUAUGUUUAGUAGGAACACAAAAUUAGUCCAUAAUUUGAGAUGCAGUGCCUCGAACGGCCAAAAUAAAUGUUUUAACCAAGUCAUAGACUCAGCUAUUGAUUGAAAGAAUCACUGGGACCAAUUCAGAAAUUGCCUUGUAACAUUAUCACAAAUAUUUACCGUAAAACUUUUUCCAGGUCUUCUCUUAAAUUCCUGAGGUAAUUUACUAGGCAAUUAUGCCAGAAAAAGAAAAAAAUCCAGAGUUUGGAAGAUGACACUGUGAUCUACCAAAGUAAAGCUUUAUGAAGCUCAAGAGAUAAAUACAAUUUUGACUUAAAUAUAUUUUUGUGUGAUCUGUGUUUAUUCCCCAUGGUCCUGAAUGACUAACUGAAAUUGGAAUAUGUGAAAAAUGGCAGAAUUUCCUAAUUGAUUACUUAACAUUUGAAAUAAGGACUAUUAUAGCAGAAGGGUUAAAGGAAAGUCUUAAGAACUUUUCCUAAUAAUAAACUAUACAGCAUCACAUAAUGGGGAAAUUCCUAAGAUUAGUCUCACUUCCACAAUCACCAGUUAUUUAAAAUAUUAAAAGUAGUGAUUUCUAUCACAUGCCUGUUUAACUUCAGCUUGGCCUAAUCAGAAGGCAUAUGAAUACUGGAGAUUAAUUGUGUAUUAUUGUGAACAUAAUCAGAUAGUGAUUCUAAUUUUAGUUUCUGUUCCAGAUAUAUAAUUUUUUCUUGAACAAAUCAAUAGAGUUUCAUCUACCUGAUGUAAAUAUAUUGAACUGACAAAUACUUUUUUCUCUAUUUGUAGAAUCUACCAGAAGCCAUUUACUUUUUCUAGCAAAAACAGAGAAAUAAAAUUGUCACUGAGCUCCAGUAAAACACAAAAGACCUUAGAUGGGCCUUGCUACGUGGUAGCGAAGACACUACGCAGUGUGGUGACUUCAUCUUUAGUUGGAACUCCAUUAAUAAGGCUCACGAAUUUCAGCAUUUCAGUGAUAUUCCCACCCCAAGAAAGGGAAUGAUCAUAGGUAAUAAAAAAGGCUUAGAGAUGUGUUCUAGAAAGUGAAAUUUAGGUGGGUUGUGUAUAUAUUACUGAAAUAUUGUUAAAAAGGAGGGAAAAAGACAAAUAUAUUUCCAAAAUUUUGCACAAAUGUUCUUUGGGCAGGGUAAGGUGACAGAGUAAGUUUAGCUGUGAAAUAAAUGAUGCAGAUGCCUUUAAUACAAAUAGUUUCUCCUUUUUGAGACCAUCACCAUUUAUAUUACAUGCCCUCUAACUCUUAACUAUAUAUUUCUUUCUUUUACAGAAUCUAAUGUCUUCCAGAUUCUCUUAAAAAAAGUUAAAUUUCAUUUGUCUAAGGAUUAGUCUUGAUUUGAUUGCAUGAGAUCGCUCCACAUCCAUCCUCCACAUAACAAAUUAUUUGUCUGUCAAUAUGUUCUUGACCGUGGUUCUUUUUCUUUGGAAAAAAAACUUAUUUAUUUAUUUAUGUUAUUAUUAAAGAUAAAAGGCAUAAUGUUUCUAUGUUAACUCUUAUGCUUAUUUUUGUUAAAGAAUAAUAAAAAAU
rnacentral:lncRNA from 10 species